rnacentral:rRNA from 1 species
ACCAUCCUCCAAGGCUAAAUACUCCUGACUGACCGAUAGUGAACCAGUACCGUGAGGGAAAGGCGAAAAGAACCCCGGCGAGGGGAGUGAAAAAGAACCUGAAACCGUGUACGUACAAGCAGUGGGAGCACAGGUUUACCUGUGUGACUGCGUACCUUUUGUAUAAUGGGUCAGCGACUUAUAUUCUGUAGCAAGGUUAACCGUAUAGGGGAGCCGAAGGGAAACCGAGUCUUAACCGGGCGUUAAGUUGCAGGGUAUAGACCCGAAACCCGGUGAUCUAGCCAUGGGCAGGUUGAAGGUUGGGUAACACUAACUGGAGGACCGAACCGACUAAUGUUGAAAAAUUAGCGGAUGACCUGUGGCUGGGGGUGAAAGGCCAAUCAAACCGGGAGAUAGCUGGUUCUCCCCGAAAGCUAUUUAGGUAGCGCCUCGUGAACUCAUCUCCGGGGGUAGAGCACUGUUUCGGCUAGGGGGCCAUCCCGGCUUACCAACCCGAUGCAAACUGCGAAUACCGGAGAAUGUUAUCACGGGAGACACACGGCGGGUGCUAACGUCCGUCGUGAAGAGGGAAACAACCCAGACCGCCAGCUAAGGUCCCAAAGUCAUGGUUAAGUGGGAAACGAUGUGGGAAGGCCCAGACAGCCAGGAUGUUGGCUUAGAAGCAGCCAUCAUUUAAAGAAAGCGUAAUAGCUCACUGGUCGAGUCGGCCUGCGCGGAAGAUGUAACGGGGCUAAACCAUGCACCGAAGCUGCGGCAGCGACAUUUAGGUGUUGUUGGGUAGGGGAGCGUUCUGUAAGCCUGUGAAGGUGGCCUGUGAGGGUUGCUGGAGGUAUCAGAAGUGCGAAUGCUGACAUAAGUAACGAUAAAGCGGGUGAAAAGCCCGCUCGCCGGAAGACCAAGGGUUCCUGUCCAACGUUAAUCGGGGCAGGGUGAGUCGACCCCUAAGGCGAGGCCGA